GUGGGGAAUAUUGGACAAUGGGCGAAAGCCUGAUCCAGCCAUGCCGCGUGUGUGAAGAAGGUCUUCGGAUUGUAAAGCACUUUAAGUUGGGAGGAAGGGCAGUAAGUUAAUACCUUGCUGUUUUGACGUUACCGACAGAAUAAGCACCGGCUAACUUCGUGCCAGCAGCCGCGGUAAUACGAAGGGUGCAAGCGUUAAUCGGAAUUACUGGGCGUAAAGCGCGCGUAGGUGGUUUUGUAAGUUGGAGGUGAAAUCCCCGGGCUCAACCUGGGAACUGCCUCCAAAACUGCAUGACUAGAGUACGGUAGAGGGUAGUGGAAUUUCCUGUGUAGCGGUGAAAUGCGUAGAUAUAGGAAGGAACACCAGUGGCGAAGGCGACUACCUGGACUGAUACUGACACUGAGGUGCGAAAGCGUGGGGAGCAAACAGGAUUAGAAACCCCAGUAGUCC
rnacentral:rRNA from 1 species